rnacentral:rRNA from 1 species
CUAGGAAUCUUGGGAAUGGGCGAAAGCCUGACCCAGCAACGCCGCGUGGGCGAUGAAGGCCUUCGGGUCGUAAAGCCCUUUUGUGGGGGAAGAUGAUGACGGUACCCCACGAAUAAGCCACGGCUAACUACGUGCCAGCAGCCGCGGUAAUACGUAGGUGGCAAGCGUUGUCCGGAUUUACUGGGCGUAAAGGGCGUGCAGGCGGUUCGUUAAGUUCGAGGUGAAAGCUCCCGGCUCAACUGGGAGAGGUCCUUGGAUACUGGCGGACUUGAGGGUGGCAGAGGAAAGUGGAAUUCCCGGUGUAGUGGUGAUAUGCGUAGAUAUCGGGAGGAACACCAGUGGCGAAGGCGGCUUUCUGGGCCUUACCUGACGCUGAGACGCGAAAGCGUGGGGAGCGAACCGGAUUAGAUACCCCCGUAGUCC